rfam:Phycisphaerae bacterium SM-Chi-D1, complete genome.
CAUAGGGCGUUGCCCCAUGCUAAGAUAUUUCGCACCUUUGGUGCU